rnacentral:lncRNA from 1 species
CCUUCCAGAAUUAAACCCAAACAACCUACCCUAAUCUCUCAUUUUCCAUUUCUCAGCUUCCCUUUAAUACUCUUCACUCUCAAGACUCUCACGAAGGUUCUUCGAAUCCUAAUCGUCUCCGACCCUUUUUCCAUCGUACUUUCACCAUAAUCCAUGGCUUCUCAGGCCAUGGAUGGGCUGUACUCACCCCUCUCCACCAUUAGACCUUGGGAGUCCGAGGUUUUGAAGUUCGAAUUCGAUGCUUCUCUUUCAGAUCUUCUCAGAUCUUUGGUUCCAUGGCUUCUUCGGCCAUGCUCCAGCAUAUUCAAGGAUGAGAAGCACGAUUCCUAACCUUUUCGACCCAGGAUCUGACUUUUCCAAGCCUUUCUCAUUUUCUAGGGUUUCUCUGAAACCCUAAGCCGUUUUAGGUUUUUCUCUAUUUAUUUUCUUAGAUCUAGUAUGUUUGUGUUCUACUGGACCUCUAAGUUGUUUUCCCCAAAUUUUCUUUUCAAAAUCGUUUAUUUUCGAUUUAGGGUUUCUGAAAGGUUUUCAAAAACAUCUUUCUGAUUCUUGCAUGUUCUUUCCUUUAUGUGUGUUUGUCUAUACUAUGCUCGUAUAUUUUCUUUUUACUACGCGUGUGUUGUUCUUCCACUUCUUCUUUUUCUAUUAUGCAUGUUACUCCUGUUCUCACAUGCUAAUCCUUGUUAUGUUUUCCUUACUCAUCCACUAUAAGUGUUUACUAUUGAGUUCUUUGAUUUUGUUUGCUUUACUAGACUCUGUUUGUGUUCUUGCUAAGAAUAUUUCAUCUACUGUGGCUUAAGUUUACACCACUUGCUUACGUUCCGACUUUUCUAAACCAUGCUUUUUAUGCUCUUAAACCGCUUUCUUUCUUUGUUGUUUCAAACUUGCUAUCAUAUUUGUUUUGUUUCUCAUGAGGCUUUGAAACAAACCUUUGAAGUCUAUUUCAAUGGCUUUCCUUCUCAUAUCUAUGUCUGAUUCGAUUUAAAAUCCUAGGAUUUGAGGGGUUUUAUUUGGCAAGUUUGAUUUAGUGUUUGGACUAGGGUUAUGCCUCGGAACCCUGGACUCUCAAACUUACUUUGAGUCUACAAAGAGAACUUGUAUCCUUUUGCUUAUGAUUUUGAACCUCUCAAUAUUAGACUCUUUUCUAAGUAACAUGACGACCUCUUUUGUUUGAUUCGCCUGCUUUAUAUAUGAGAAAUUCUUCUUUCGAAAAGGUUUUUCCAACUAAUUGAUUCUCAAUUCCUUUAAUGGGGUUUGAUUGAUUGUUACUGAUCUUCUCUAAUUCAACCAUCUUUACCUUUUCACGACUUGGUUCAUUCGAACAAAGCCUGUGAUUUUGAUUUUAGUGACUGUUGAUUGAUUCCCUUUUCUUACUUGUCACAAACCGUGUAACACUGAACUUUGCCUUAAAUAACUCCUGUGUAUUUACCCUUUUUGUGUUACUUUGGAAAAUUUUUUAAUCAAAUUUCUUUCUUUAUUUGUCUCCUACUUUGAAAUCAGAAUCUUUUAAUUGAAGGGAGAUUCUAUGUGAUUGAUUGCAAACUAUUCCAUUACUUUUUCUUACUUGUUUUCUGCACUAUAAAAGGGCACGAACCUUCUACCCUUCUGCAUAGAGACAACCUUGAACCCUCAAGUUCAACACUUACAAACCAAUUACACUUCGAAUUGCAUGUUCUUACUCACACACUCGCAUUUACAAUAAUCUUUCAUUUUUCUACACUCUUCUGAGAUCUUUUGUACUGCUUGCCUGCAACUUGGCUUUUCAAGACUAUUGUUUUACUUAUUUUUUUCCUGAAACUGGUAUGUCUCAAAUUUGAUUUCAGUUUCCUCCCUAUGUGUUUACUUUAUGGUUGCCUUACUAUGGUCUACUUUGUUGUUUAUGUUCAAUAUUGACUAUACAUGUUCUUUUCUUGCACUUUUUACUAUUGUGAAUCCCUACCCCUACUCACAUAUAUGUGUUUGAGUUAAAGUUCAUGGUUUGGAAGUAUUCAAAUUAUUGCCCAGGUCUGAACCUGAUGCUCAAUGGAUCCUAACUCCUUAGAUUUGGCUAACAGGCUGGUCAGGUGUGCCAUCACUCUUAAUUGAUGGGCGUGACCACCAUCCUGCCAUAGCUUUCCCUCAUUCCCCCUCUAUGCACUUACACUUGCUCUUAGACUUUAAGUUCUGUCCCCCCCAUCCUAUGAUCCUUGCCUUGGGACCUUGAGUUCCCUCUGAACUUGGACAUUCAAAUGAUGGCCCUUCCACACUGCACUAUAAUUUAAUUCUGCAAUGUAUUUAGGGUGUAAGAACUUCCCUUAGUCCACUUGAAGCUCUUGGGAACUUUGACACAUCCGAAAUAAGAGAAAGGCUUUGGAAAUCUGAUCUCUG